GAGGAAUUAGUUAAAGCAUAACAUCACCUUGUCAAGGUAAAAUUAUUAGUUGAACUCUAGUAUCCCUCC
rnacentral:tRNA from 1 species